GCCUAGAUAUCCAUCCAGAAUUUAAACUGGACUAUGGUAUUUGACAAUAUUAAAGUUCUUUUCGAUGGGUCUGUUUCUUUUUGGGCACCCUGUGGGAAAUCCUCGGGAAUAGUAAAUCAUUAAGUUGUCGCUCAGCACUAUAUUCUGAAGUCGCCCGUGAAUUAAAUGCAAACCGCAACGUUUGAAUUUGUGUUCCUGAGCAAACCCUCAAAUCAAAACCAAGGGAAUCUACACCAAUAAGCGCUGCCUCCUCCACUUGAAUACCCUUGCAUCUCC
rnacentral:misc_RNA from 1 species